AUUGAACGCUGGCGGCAUGCUUUACACAUGCAAGUCGGACGGCAGCACAGAGAAGCUUGCUUCUUGGGUGGCGAGUGGCGAACGGGUGAGUAACAUAUCGGAACGUACCGAGUAGUGGGGGAUAACUGAUCGAAAGAUCAGCUAAUACCGCAUACGUCUUGAGAGGGAAAGCAGGGGACCUUCGGGCCUUGCGCUAUUCGAGCGGCCGAUAUCUGAUUAGCUAGUUGGUGGGGUAAAGGCCUACCAAGGCGACGAUCAGUAGCGGGUCUGAGAGGAUGAUCCGCCACACUGGGACUGAGACACGGCCCAGACUCCUACGGGAGGCAGCAGUGGGGAAUUUUGGACAAUGGGCGCAAGCCUGAUCCAGCCAUGCCGCGUGUCUGAAGAAGGCCUUCGGGUUGUAAAGGACUUUUGUCAGGGAAGAAAAGGCUGUUGCUAAUAUCAUCAGCUGAUGACUGUACCUGAAGAAUAAGCACC
rnacentral:rRNA from 1 species